rnacentral:lncRNA from 10 species
CCUGAACUUCCCCAGGCUCCACCUCAGUGGGCACCUGGCUGGAGUUACUCCAGGGACCCCCUCCCACCGGGCUGUCUCAUCUGCACCCUUGGGAUGCGGGGCAAAGAGGGCUGGGAGUCUUCCAGUUCAGCAGGUCAAGUGCCCUCAGUAUGGCACUUUGCCCCACUCUGUGCUGUGGAGCCCCUCUGGCUCCUCCUCUCCAAGAGUUACUGAGACAUAUAUUGCAGCAACAGGUCAGAAUCAAGCUAAACUGACAAGUAAUUUUUAGGAAAAAAGAUCUGAAGGAAGCACUGAAAUUGAAGAAGAAACUCUAAGCCACACAUAAGAAUUUGCUAAUUCAGCCAAGCUCAGAGACCAAAACCCCUUUCUUUCAUGAAGCAUGUUCCUGGAAUUGCAAGCAAAUUUUCCACAGCUUGACUUGGAAAUGCAUGUGCUCCCACAGUCACGUGACCCCCUUGGACGACAAACACAGCGACUUUGUGAGCAGUCUGCCGAUGAUAACAUUCCUGCAGCAGCCUUCUGAACAGUCAGGUCAGAGUCUCAGCCAAGAAAAGAGACCAAAACCCCUUUCUUUCAUGAAGCUUUUUCCUGGAAGUGCAAGGUAAAUUGCUAAACCAGAACUUUCUAGGAGGUAAGAUCUUUCCAGUGGCUAGAGGACUGCUGUGGUGGCUGCUGUUCCAUGCCUGCCUGCCACAUACACAGGCUGAGAACAGAUGAGAGCUCAGGCCACAACAAGUAGCCACAGGCACACACUUCUCUGGCUGUACUUCUUCUAGAACAACCGCCAGUCAUGCAUCCAUUCAGCAUGUUUUCCUUGAACAUUAAAUACUAGGCGUGUGUUAGUGCUGAGGUAGACACAAAGAAAGGUAAGGAAUUAUCCUGCCCCCAAGGAGGCUGUGGUCUGAUGAUAUAUCGCAUCAAAUGCAGAUGAAAGAACACAGGCAAGAGGUGAGGGUCCUGACUUGGUGAUUUGGAAGUCACCCAGUGGCUCAGUUUCCCCAUUUAGACAUUGAGGGUUUCAGGCUGGAGGAGAGGCAAUGUUGCUUCUAUGCCAUUUGCUCUUCUCUUGUCACUGUGGGUGCCACUUAAUUUCAUAUAAGCUUCUGUGCUCAGGUCUCUGAAGAAAGCAGAACAAUUCCAUAGGGUGGAACUUGAAAUUCUAGACACAAACUGUAUUUCCAUAGGUCUCACUAAGCUUGGGGCAAAAUGACCAGUUAGAAAUAAUUGGGCUUGGCCAGGUACAGUGGCUCAUGCCUGUAAUCCCAACACUUCGGGAGGCUGAGGUGGGCAGAUCACUUUGAGCUCAGGAGUUCAAGACCAGCCUGGGCAACAUAGUGAAACCCUGUCUCUACUAAAAAUACAAAAAUUAGCUGGGUGUGGUGGUGUGUGCCUGUAAUCCCAGCUACUUGGGAGGCUGAGGCAGGAGAAUCGCUUGAACCCAGGAGGCAGAGGUUGCAGUGAGCCGAGACUGUGCCAUUGCACUCCAGCAUGGGCAACAAGAGCAAAACUCUGUCUCAAAAAAAAAAAAAAAAGAAAGAAAGAAAGAAAAGAAAUCAAAGAAAAGAAAAGAAAAGAAAUAGUGGGGCUCUUGCUCUUUUCCACCUCUCAACUUGGGGCAUCCUUGCUCCUUUCCAAGGAGUCUCUCAGGUACAUCUUGGGACCACAGGUAGAUCUCACAAAUGCUCAUAAUCCCCUGGCUGCCCAGGUCCCUGCACCCCCAUGCCACGCAGGGGCGCUGCAGCCUUCCCAUGGUGUCUGGUAUUGCAGGUGUUCCUUCCUCCCGCAGCUACUGAAGCCGCUAAGACAUCACUGCCUCCUCUCCCAAAGGUACAAUUGCUGCUGCUCCCUGGAGAUGCCCCAGUACUCCCACAGCCUUAGAACAGCUCUAGCUCAUAGCACCUGCUUUGCACAGGACAGGUGCCCAUUUGGUGAACAAAUGAGUUAAUGAAUAAAUGAGUAAAACAAACAUGAGCCCAGAAGACUGGAUAGAGGAAGGCCAUCAACCCGGAAAACAACCACAAUGCCACCACCGGAAAGGCUCAAGGGCCUCAGAGGAUUCUGGGAGAGUGACAGAGGAGGCAAUGGGAAGAACAGAGCUCCACCCAGUUCAUCCCUACACCCAUGGUAAACUCCCAGUAACACACCCAGUAGUGGAGCCAACAUGGAUAAGAGAAAUUUGGCUACACUGUGAAUGGUUCCCAUCCUCAGAGCAGCCCUGCCCUCAAAGGGUGGGAAGAUGUUGUCUUCCUGGGGAGACGGAAAGUUAGGAAGGGUGGGCAUGGAGGCCUUAGGAAGAGAUAGCCUUGAUCAUCUGAAACUUUGAGUUCCUUGUAUAGUCAGUUGUAUAUAAGUUUCACUUUAUUUCUGUGCUUUUUGUGAGAAUACAGACUGAAAAAAUGGUUUUAUCCACUCACAUUAGGACAAUUGAAAUUUUCAGACUUCACUUGCAUGCAUGGCAGGGUUUCACUGUCCAUAUAGUUCUUGCCCCCACCUCUUAAAAGCAUGCCCAAAGCUAAGACACUAUAGAUCUGGGUGACAACAUGCAGCUCCAAGCCUCUCUCGACAAGACCACUGCCCCCUCCCUUUUGUCUCCCCGUCUUACUUUUCUCUUCCACCACAUCUACCAGCCACAGUUUUAUUUUUUUGUAUGUCCCUGCCUCUCCUGCAAGGAGUUAAGGGACUGGGUCACAGUCCUAGAACUGCUGACCUAUAUCUGUGCUAUGAAGAGCAGCAGCUCAUGGCUCAGGCCCUCAGGAAAAGUGACAGCAGUGAUCUUGUGUGUUAACGUCACUGCCUUCCACAUUCAUAGCUUCACAUACUGCAUCAUUCAUUGAAAAAUUAAAAUUCAUCAUCUUUCCCCAGAAUGAGGCUAACAGACUUUAAUUGUAAGAAUCAGGAAAAGCUGUGACAUUUUAAUUAUAACAGUUUUUAAUUAAAGGAGUAUUACCUCAUUUGAUCUGUUAAAGAAAAAUUAUUCAUGAUACUUGUCAAAGAUGGCAAGGUAGGCUUUAUGCAAGGGGUCCAUGGUGAUUGGCAUCAGGUCUUGUAGUGAGGGAAAAAGACUGGACUCAACUCUGGCUCCAAAAAGGAUAAGUAGGGAUUUAUUACAAGGAGCAGGGUGGAGGUCAAUAGAUGGAAAAUUACUAUGAGGAAUUGUCAGGGAUAAGGUGUUUCUGGCUAAAUUGACUUGACAGUUUAUUGCUGAAGGCAAGGGUGGUCAGAUACCAGAGUAGGGGUCUUGGUUAAUUUGGCUUAGCAGGAUUCUUGCUCAAACUGGAUUCUGGCCGGGCAUGGUGGCUCAUGCUUGUAAUCCCAGCAUUUUGGGAGGCUGAGGAGAAGGGCGAUCAUGAGGUCAGGAGUUCAAGACCAGCCUGGCCAACACAGUGAAACCCCAUCUCUACUAAAAAUACAAAAAUUAGCUGAGUGUGGUG